rnacentral:rRNA from 1 species
ACGAACGCUGGCGGCAUGCCUAACACAUGCAAGUCGAACGAGAUCUUCGGAUCUAGUGGCGCACGGGUGCGUAACGCGUGGGAAUCUGCCCCUUGCUUCGGAAUAACAGUGAGAAAUUACUGCUAAUACCGGAUGAUGUCUCCGGACCAAAGAUUUAUCGGCAAGGGAUGAGCCCGCGUAGGAUUAGGUAGUUGGUGGGGUAAUGGCCUACCAAGCCGACGAUCCUUAGCUGGUCUGAGAGGAUGAUCAGCCACACUGGGACUGAGACACGGCCCAGACUCCUACGGGAGGCAGCAGUGGGGAAUAUUGGACAAUGGGCGAAAGCCUGAUCCAGCAAUGCCGCGUGAGUGAUGAAGGCCUUAGGGUUGUAAAGCUCUUUUACCAGGGAUGAUAAUGACAGUACCUGGAGAAUAAGCUCCGGCUAACUCCGUG